rnacentral:rRNA from 1 species
UUGCAGUUAAAAAGCUCGUAGUUGAAUUUCUGGUCGUGGCAGCCGGUCCGCCCCUCACGGGGUGUGCACCUGGUUUCUGCAGCCAUCCUCGCGGAGAGCGCGUCUGUCGUUAAUUCGUCGGGCGCGGGAUCCGCGUCAUUUACUGUGAGCAAAAUAGAGUGUUCAAAGCAGGCUUAGGCCGUUGAAUACAUUAGCAUGGAAUAAUAAGAUAGGACCUUGGUCUAUUUUGUUGGUUUGUACUCCAAGGUAAUGAUUAAUAGGGAUAGUUGGGGGUAUUCGUAUUCAAUUGUCAGAGGUGAAAUUCUUGGAUUUAUGGAAGACGAACUACUGCGAAAGCAUUUACCAAGGAUGUUUUCAUUAAUCAAGAACGAAAGUUAGGGGAUCGAAGAUGAUUAGAUACCAUCGUAGUCUUAACCAUAAACUAUGCCGACUAGGGAUUGGUUGAUGUUUUUUACGACUCAAUCAGCACCUUAUGAGAAAUCAAAGUCUUUGGGUUCCGGGGGGAGUAUGGUCGCAAGGCUGAA